rnacentral:rRNA from 1 species
UACGUAGGGGGCGAGUGUUGUUCGGAAUUACUGGGCAUAAAGGGUGCGUAGGCGGAAGUCCAAGCAAGAUGUGAAAGCCAAUGGCCUAACCAUUGAAUUGCAUUUUGAACUGGAUUUCUAGAGUGCAGUAGGGGAGAGCAGAAUUCCUGGUGUAGGGGUGAAAUCUAUAGAUAUCAGGAGGAAUACCGGUCGCGAAGGCGGCUCUCUGGACUGUAACUGACGCUGAGGCACGAAAGCGGGGGGAUCAAACAGGAUUAGAUACCCUGGUAGUCCACGCUGUAAACGUUGUACACUUGGUGGUUGCCCUGCUUAGGGGUGGCUGCCGAAGCAAAUGUGAUAAGUGUACCGCCUGGGGAGUACGGUCGCAAGGCUGAA